GACGAACGCUGGCGGCGUGCCUAAUACAUGCAAGUCGAGCGGAAGUUGAAGAGCUUGCUCUUCAACUUUAGCGGCGGACGGGUGAGUAACACGUGGGCAACCUGCCCUGCAGAUCGGGAUAACUCCGGGAAACCGGUGCUAAUACCGAAUAGUUUUCGCCACCUCCUGGUGGCGGACGGCAAGACGGUUUCGGCUGUCACUGCAGGAUGGGCCCGCGGCGCAUUAGCUAGUUGGUGGGGUAACGGCCAACCAAGGCGACGAUGCGUAGCCGACCUGAGAGGGUGAUCGGCCACACUGGGACUGAGACACGGCCCAGACUCCUAGGGGAGGCAGCGGUAGGGAAUCUUCCGCAAUGGACGAAAGUCUGACGGAGCAACGCCGCGUGAGUGACGAAGGUUUUCGGAUCGUAAAACUCUGUUGUGAGGGAAGAACAAGUACCAACUAACUACUGGUACCUUGACGGUACCUCACCAGAAAGCCACGGCUAACUACGUGCCAGCAGCCGCCGUAACAC
rnacentral:rRNA from 1 species